rnacentral:rRNA from 1 species
CGGACGGGUGAGUAACGCGUGGGAAUCUACCUAUGAGUGGGGGAUAACUUGGUGAAAACCAAGCUAAUACCGCAUGUGGUCUACGGACUAAAGCAGGGGAUCUUCGGACCUUGCGCUAAUAGAUGAGCCCGCGUUAGAUUAGCUAGUUGGUGGGGUAAAGGCCUACCAAGGCGACGAUCUAUAGCUGGUCUGAGAGGACGAUCAGCCACACUGGGACUGAGACACGGCCCAG